AUGACCGAGCCGGCACGCGCCCAUUCUGGAUCGCCCGUCGCCGACUCAAACUGGAGAGAUUGGACGGACAGCCAGAUUGCCGAGCCGAUGGGCCUGAUCGCCGAGUGCUUCCUCGCUGACGACGUCGCCGACUACCUCCGCUUCCGCGCGGUGUGCAGCUCAUGGCGGCUAUGCAUCACCGCCGCCACGCCCCCGCUCACCGCCAAGCCCGGCGACGAGAGAUGGACGCAGUGGCAUUGCAAGGACGGCGAAGCCAUCAUCGCAGCAUUGGCGUUCGCCGGCUGCUUCUACUGCAUCACCGAGAAGUGCAUCACGAACGUGAAUCUAGUGGACAACGCCGGGGAACUGCUUCUGAUCCACGCGGCACGGCCGGGCCUGGACCAACCUGCACGGGGAGGUUACUUGGUGCACAGAGUGGAUCUGGAUGCAGGCAACGUCAUGCCCAUGCAAGAGCUUGGAGGGAACGCCUUGUUCGUCGGUGAUAGCUACCAGGUGCAGGGCCCCGUGGUUUCGGUGCCCGCAGGGCUGUCCCCUCGCGUCCGUGCUGACACCAUCUACUCGUGCAGUGAUGACGACGGCAAACUGGACCGGCCGAUAAUCCACGCCUACCGUGUCGAAUCUGGAGACAUGGGACGCAUAACCGGUGAAGCCCGAUCAUUUAGUGUUGUUGACCAUUUAUCUCGCUACGUCUGUCGUUCGAGGAGGCCGCGAGUUCGCCGUCACCAGCGGGCGCAGAGCCAAUCGAGUGUCGUGGCUGAGGCUAUAGAGGGCAAUCAUCAGGGACCAACGAACACGGUCACAUAA
rnacentral:rRNA from 1 species